CUUCAACGUCUUUUUUGCAACCGAUUCUCUUCUUUUUGAACUAAAACCUGAAAAAUCACUUAAAAAAAAAGCACACACACGAGAAUUAAAAUUACUUAACAAAAAAAAUUCUUUAAAAAAAAAAAGGAGAAUCGGACCGCCGGUGUGAUACGUCGCUCCGGCGAAAGGUAGUCAUAUUCGAUAGUCAUCUCAAAUCCGGAUAAUAUAAGAGAUACUCCAUUCCAGAACUUGAUGAAGUGGAUCGAGAUAUUAAAAGAUGCAUGUGAGAUAAUGAAACAUCGAUAUUGCUGUAGGAUGUGGUUGGUACCUAUGAAAGUGUGAUAGGCAGUGAUCCUAGCACUCUGAUUUCCAAUCUCUUUUAGUCUAUGCAGUUUAAUGGUGGGUUAUGCUCUUAAACUUGAAGGAAUAAGUGGAAAGUGGUGAGUAGAAUCGGAUAAAAUGAACGUCACUGGUGGUUUUAUAUCAGAUGAACGCCGGGAGAUUGUCCAAUCUGCUUCAGGGAGUGACAUUUCUUCAAAAUCUCCAAGGUCAACACAGGUCCAUGGCAAAGGAAGUCCCGUUAACCAUGAUAGGCAGUCACGUUCCCCAAUAGAUGGUCGUCCUAAGAAAGGUGGUUGUGGUGGUAAAGGAACUUGGGGAGGGUUACUCGAUACUGAUUCCAGUUAUGCUCUUGACCCAAAUGACCCAAACUACGAUAGCAGUGAGGAAUAUGGACAUCCAAAUGCAAGAAAAUCAGCACCUGAUUUUGAUGCGUUUAAAAAGAAGGCGACAAUAAUAGUGGAGGAAUACUUUGCUACUGAUGAUGUUGACUCAGCUACCAAUGAAUUAAAAGAACUUGCAAUGCCCAGCUACAACUAUUACUUUGUAAAAAAGCUGGUCUCUAUGGCUAUGGAUAGGCAUGACCAUGAAAAAGAAAUGGCUGCUGUUCUAUUAUCUGCACUCUAUGCUGAUGUAAUUGAUGCCCCACAGGUUUACAGAGGCUUUAGUAAACUGGUGGAAUCUGCAGAUGAUCUGAUUGUAGAUAUACCGGAUACAGUUGAUAUUCUUGCAUUGUUUAUAGCUCGAGCUGUGGUUGAUGACAUACUCCCUCCUGCAUUCCUUAAAAAACAAAUAGCACUCUUACCUAAUGAUUCAAAGGGGGUGGAAGUCUUGGAAAGAGCUGAGAAAGGGUAUCUAGCAGCUCCUAUGCAUGCAGAAAUUAUUGAGCGUCGCUGGAGGGUUAGCAAGAAAACAGUUGAGGAUGUAAAGGCAAGGAUAAACAACUUGUUGAUAGAGUAUGUAACGAGUGGUGACAAGAAAGAGGCUUAUAGAUGCAUCAAGGAUUUGAAAGUUCCUUUCUUCCACCAUGAAAUAGUUAAACGAGCACUUGUUAUGGCAAUGGAAAGGCGACAAGCUGAAGAUAGACUACUGGAUCUACUCAAGGAAGUAGCUGAAGAAGGUCUGAUAAACUCAAGUCAAAUUACAAAGGGAUUUGAUAGGAUGAUUGACACAAUUGAGGAUUUGUCCCUUGACAUACCAAAUGCACAGAGGAUACUGAAGUCUUUGAUUUCUAAGGCUACAUCUGAUGGAUGGUUGUGUGCUUCAUCUUUAAGGUCUUUAUCAUUGGAGCCCAGAAAAAAAUUAUUGGAAGACAAUUUUACUAGAACUUUCAAGUUGAAGUCUCAAUCAAUUGUUCAAGAAUAUUUUUUGACUGGUGAUAUCUCGGAGGUUUUUAGUUGUCUAGAAGCAGAGAAUAGAACUUCCUCAGGUGAACUGAAUGCUAUCUUUAUUAAAAGGUUGAUAACUUUAGCAAUGGAUCGGAAGAACAGGGAGAAAGAAAUGGCUUCUGUUUUGCUAUCAUCAUUAUGUUUUCCUGCAGAUGAUGUAGUAAAUGGGUUUGUGAUGUUGAUAGAAUCUGCCGAUGACACUGCUCUAGAUAAUCCAGUUGUUGUUGAGGAUCUUGCUAUGUUUUUGGCUAGAGCAGUGGUAGAUGAAGUUUUAGCCCCACAACACCUAGAAGAGGUCGGUAGCCAAUUUCUGGGGACGGACUCUAUUGGGGGCAAAGUGCUUCAAAUGGCAAAGUCAUUGCUAAAGGCUCGACUUUCAGGAGAGCGCAUCUUGAGGUGUUGGGGUGGUGGUGGUAGCAGUAGGCCGGGAUGGGCUGUUGAAGAUGUGAAACACAAAAUAGGAAAGCUGUUAGAGGAAUAUGAAUCCGGAGGAGACAUUAGGGAAGCUUAUCGAUGCAUAAAGGAGUUAGGCAUGCCAUUCUUCCACCACGAGGUUGUAAAGAAAGCAAUGGUGAUGGUUAUGGAGAAAAAGAAUGAUAGACUUUGGGGUUUGCUUGCACAUUGUUUUGGCUCAGGGCUCAUAACCAUGAACCAGAUGACAAAGGGUUUCUCAAGGGUAGAAGAAUCACUUGAUGACUUGGCUCUUGAUGUGCCUGAUGCCCGAAAACAGUUUCUAGCAUAUGUUGAAAAAGCAAAGACUACCGGAUGGUUGGAUUCAUCAUUUCAUUAUGGCAAUUCCAUAAACGGUAAAGAGAAUGGGGCCUGCCAAUAAUAACGAGUUUACAGGGAAGUUGAGUUCCUUCUAGCUGUGCCCUGGUAUUGCAGAGAAUAACUUCUGUAGUUAUGUUCCUGGUACUUCAGUUUCUGCUCAACUCCAAGACCCAACAUGUCAAAUUCCACCAAAUGAAUGUUGGAGAUUGUUAUCACAUUCAGAAUCCCAUUUUUGUUGCAUUGCAUUGAAAGAGCUGACCUUCGGGAAUCUGCUCAUUUUCAGUGCAAAAAUAACUCUAGAACUUGGACUUGCUACUCUGGAACAGUUUCUUUAUUUUUGUUUUUGGGUUGUCCUAUAAUUUGUUAAUCUUAUUUAUUUAGGUAGAUCAAUUUUUAUGUUAUUUCAUUUUGUUUAGCAAGAUCUGACUUGAUUUGUACGGCAAACUAUAAUUUUAUUAUUUGAUUUCUUUUACAAUAA